rnacentral:rRNA from 1 species
GAUGAACGCUGGCGGCGUGCCUAAUACAUGCCAGUCGAGCGAACAGACGAGGAGCUUGCUCCUCUGACGUUAGCGGCGGACGGGUGAGUAACACGUGGAUAACCUACCUAUAAGACUGGGAUAACUUCGGGAAACCGGAGCUAAUACCGGAUAAUAUAUUGAACCGCAUGGUUCAAUAGUGAAAGACGGCUUUGCUGUCACUUUUAGAUGGAUCCGCGCCGCAUUAGCUAGUUGGUAAGGUAACGGCUUACCAAGGCAACGAUGCGUAGCCGACCUGAGAGGGUGAUCGGCCACACUGGAACUGAGACACGGUCCAGACUCCUACGGGAGGCAGCAGUAGGGAAUCUUCCGCAAUGGGCGAAAGCCUGACGGAGCAACGCCGCGUGAGUGAUGAAGGUCUUCGGAUCGUAAAACUCUGUUAUUAGGGAAGAACAAAUGUGUAAGUAACUAUGCACGUCUUGACGGUACCUAAUCAGAAAGCCACGGCUAACUACGUG